AGUGAACGCUGGCGGCAGGCCUAACACAUGCAAGUCGAACGGCAGCACAGGGUAGCUUGCUCCCUGGGUGGCGAGUGGCGGACGGGUGAGGAAUACAUCGGAAUCUACCCUGUCGUGGGGGAUAACGUAGGGAAACUUACUCUAAUACCGCAUACGACCUCCGGGUGAAAGCAGGGGAUCGCAAGACCUUGCGCGAUUGGAUGAGCCGAUGUCCGAUUAGCUAGUUGGCGGGGUAAAGGCCCACCAAGGCGCCGAUCGGUAGCUGGUCUGAGAGGAUGAUCAGCCACACUAGAACUGAGACACGGUCCAGAAUCCUACGGGAGGCAGCAGUGGGGAAGAUUGGACAAUGGGCGAAAGAAUGAUCCAGCCAUGCCGCGUGGGUGAAGAAGGCCUUCGGGUUGUAAAGAACUUUUGUUGGGAAAGAAAACGUUCCGGUUAAUACCCGGAGAGAAUGACGGUACCCAAAGAAUAAGCACCGGCUAACUUCGUG
rnacentral:rRNA from 1 species